UACGUAGGGGGCAAGCGUUGUCCGGAAUCAUUGGGCGUAAAGCGCGUGUAGGCGGUUCGGUAAGUCGGCUGUGAAAGUCCAGGGCUCAACCCUGGGAUGCCGGUCGAUACUGCCGGACUAGAGUUCGGAAGAGGCGAGUGGAAUUCCCGGUGUAGCGGUGAAAUGCGCAGAUAUCGGGAGGAACACCAAUGGCGAAAGCAGCUCUCUGGGACGGUACUGACGCUGAGACGCGAAAGCGUGGGGAGCGAACAGG
rnacentral:rRNA from 1 species